GACGACAAGCAAAAUCGAGAGACAAUACAUGAGUGGAUAUCACACAUAGAAGAAAAAGGAGUGUUUGGCUCAAUACCUCUCGGUUGGGUCGAAUCAAAGAACCGGUCAAAAAGUGUGCGUUCCCUUCCUUCGCCUCUUGAUCACAUGAGUGCAACAAGCUAUUGCACUGCAGGUUUCACAUAUCACACACGGAGAAAAUCAAGUAAUUGAUACUCAAGUAACUAGAAGGAACAUGCCAAAAUAUUGAAACAAACUCCAGAAGUAAAAACCAU
rnacentral:lncRNA from 1 species